UAUGACCAGGGGCAUACCAAAGCAAAAUCAAUUUAAAAAACAUUACGGAAAUAAGCAAGAGAUGCUUCCUCAGCAGAACAAGAACCAAACAGUUAAAAGGAUUUCCCCCCAAAGAACAGGUGGCUUUCACUGGUAGACAUAAGUUAUUAUCCAUGUAAAUCAAAGGUUAUUUGGUAGUGAAAGCCAAACCACAGAAUUCAGCAGUUUAUAUCUACCGAAACUACAUACACUGAACCAAUUGUUUCAUAGGUGUUUAAAUUUUAAUUUAGGCUUAGAAGCAGUCAGUCAAUCACUAUGUUACACGAAAGAACUUGAAACCACCCCUAGGGCACAUAACUUCUUGGCUGGAUGUAUGUAAGUUUAAGCCAUGGUGGUUUUUAGUGAGACAAACUGUGUCAAACAUAAUUUUAUAUUAGGACUAGACUUGGUAGAUGCAUUGCUUCUGAUAUACAAAGAGUUUAUUAAAAUGUUUGAUAUGGUAACAGAGAAGAUUACUGAUUAAGAAUAUACUCUGGAAAAAGAGUUUAUUAUUUGCACUUGAACAGAAAGCUAACUGUAGGACGGAAUUCAGAGAGUUGUGAUUUAAAAGCUCUUUUUCUGGUUGAACCAGUUGGGCCAGUGUUUAAAGUGGAAUUUCUCAGGGCGCUGCUGUUAAAUUACUUUUUGUUAAUUUAUUUGUUGUUGACCUUGAUGUUUGCAUUGGAAACAUUGCCUCUGUGUUUGUAGAUAACACUAAUAUACAGUAUAUGUAUGUGUCGCUAACAUAAAAUGUGAUUUCCUGCAGUCCUGUGUGCUACUGAGAAAAGAGGCACACAGUUACACAGCAGAAAAACUCUUUAGAACACAAUAAUGUUAUCUGUUCUAUUUAACCUGUGCCCUAUAGCCUUUUUUCAAUUUCCACUAUUGCUACACAAACAGCUUGUUUAUAUGAACUAUAGUAGUGUUUCUGAAGGGAACAGAUCAGUUUUACCAGUGCAGGGCAACAGUACAUGAUAUUUUCAUUACUUUAAAACACUUUCAUUUUUUGGUGUUACUGUUCCUUUAAGCGACUCCAUGUUUGGUUCUUGUGAGGUAGAUCAUUGGAUUACUAGUGUACAAAUAAUUCCCCUGCAUAGAGACUUCAACUCAGGUGUCAGAAAUGUAUUUGCCAUGCCAUUGACAUCAAAGGAUGUGCCAUCAUUGCACCCGCCCACAACUGGAAGUGACAUCAUUGCACAUGCACACAUUAUCUGAUGUCAAUGAAUGCUUGCUGCUCAUUUGCAUGCAGCUUGGUUUUAUACACACCAUGGGAGCGAUUUAUACCAUUCGUAAUUUUUUUGGGUGUCCCAAUGGAAAUUUAUAGCACACAGAAUCAUGUAUUAGACUGAUUAUUUGUUAUAAUUUGUUAUUUAUGAAGUGUAAAAACCAUGAAAAACUCUAUUACAAAAUGCAGCCAUAAAAAAGUUGGCGAGGUCAUGUAGAAGUCAAUGGGAGCUGUCCUUUUCCAGUUGUAAAACCUUUCUUUACUUCUAAAACUUUCUACAAAGAUUAGGAUUCCAAGGUUUUCGUAUUCUUAUUCAGAUUCGUUCUGUGUUUUUAUUUGUUUGUGCUUUUUAUAUUCAGAUCUUUUAACAGGGUUGUUCACUUUUCAACACAGUUCAGUUGCUAUCAGAUAGUUCCCCAGAAAUAAUUACUUUUUUCAGUUACCAUUCUAUUUGUGGCAGUUUUUCUAAUAUUGAAGUGUCUUUAAUCAGCCCUAUAUUGCCCACCUCAAUGGGGGCAUAUGGAAUCUCUAGGUGUAUGGCCACUUUAAGGGGCAGUGAUACAUACAGUGAGGGUAGUAAGAUGGUUCUAAUAUCUACAGUACAUAUCUCACAUGCAAAAUCUUGCCAAAUACGACAUCAGUUAUUUGAAUUGGCACAAGAUUUGAACAACUUUUAAAAUUAAGGAAUGUGGUUCCUUCACUUCAGAUAAAGGCACUUGCAAAUAUUGUUUCUUUUGAAGUAGGCUUUCUUUGAAUUGUUUCCAAACAACAAAGCACCGAUGACCUUGACUGAUAAGCAGGACAUUCAGAAAUAACAUGCAUAUGAAUAGUCUUUGGACGCAGUCUGAAGGGCAGUAGCAUGGAAGUGGCUGCAGAACAGCUGAGUGCUAGUUUAUGGACUGAGUUUGCACAGGUCGGCGGAAAUCCAUACAGAGUCCAUGCAGAAAUAUACAUUUAAUUUCCCAGAGAGACAAUCUGCCACAUCACUGGCAUGAGAAAUGCUGCUUAAUCCUCAGAAGAAUUGUUUUUCUCAUUACUGUGCACACAGUCAUCUGUAACGCAGCUUCCUGUGUCCUUUCCUGUGUUGGAGUGUGGGAAAUCUGUGUUGUAUUGUGGAUUUCCACCGUUUUACCCGUCACCAGAAUCCUUGAACUCUUUCAGUGCUAGCGAACAAUCAAUGGUUUUCCCUACAUUUCCAGGUUUCCUUUUGAUUUGUGUCGCUAUGCUUGUUUACUCAAACAACACGGACAGUGAAAUUAGUUAAAUCCAGUGAAUCAUGGAGAGAAUAAUAACACAAUCUCUCCAAAUAGCUGGGAAACAUGUUCCAUAAUUACAUAUUCAUUGAUAGAUGAUUUCCCAGAAACAGGUCCCCCAAUUCCUGGUAAGUACAAGAUUACACAUAUUAAAUGGGUACUGUCAUCCCUAAAUGUCCAUAGUAUAUCCAGCAAUAUAAUGGUAUAAUAUUUCAUCCACUUAUAAUUAGAUUUGAGUCUUUUCUGUUAGUAAAUAAAUCAAGUUUUUUAUAAA